UACGAAGGGUGCAAGCGUUAAUCGGAAUUACUGGGCGUAAAGCGUGCGUAGGCGGUUUGUUAAGUCUGUUGUGAAAUCCCCGGGCUCAACCUGGGAAUGGCAAUGGAUACUGGCAAGCUAGAGUGUGAUAGAGGAUGGUGGAAUUCCCGGUGUAGCGGUGAAAUGCGUAGAGAUCGGGAGGAACAUCAGUGGCGGAAGGCGGCCAUCUGGAUCAACACUGACGCUGAGGCACGAAAGCGUGGGGAGCAAACAGG
rnacentral:rRNA from 1 species